rnacentral:rRNA from 1 species
UUUUUUUAAGGAUUGCAUUCGAAAGUGUGGUGUUUCAACUUAAAGCAUUUUGUUUCAGUCGACAAAAUACAGCCGUGGCUAGAAAACAUUUAAUGGUAUUACGAUAUUAAAAGCGCGAACAAAACCACGACAAUAUAGACACAAAGAGGACAGGACAGGCGCUACCUAGAAGCCGCGUUGUUGUGGUUUUUAUAAAAUUCCAAUCGACUCCACGAAUCACAGCUUGAUGCUCUUCAUGUUAAAUGCAAGACAAUCAAAAAUAAUAUAAUUUCGUCAGUGACUGACUGCUUAUCAGACGCAGGGCAGGCCUGCCAAUCGCACGGCCACGAGACCCCGAUGUUUCUUUUGGAGUGUCCGCCUUAUCAACUAAUCAAUGGUAUAGUACACAUAGGUUAUGCGCGUACCAUGCUUGUUUCGGGUAACGGAGGGUUCGAUCCCGAAGAGGGAGCCUGAGAAACGGCACCAUAUUUAAGGAAGGCAGCAGGCGCGCAAAUUACCAACUCCCUAGGGGACUCCUUUGAUGUCCCGGAAUUCAAAUGAGUAGGCUCUAAAUCCUGUAACGAGGACCAAUUGGAGGGCAAGUCUGAACUAUUCGAGCUGCAGCA